AACAUUACUCAAGUCAGGAGGGUUAAUUAUUGAGCCGUGACUCUUCAUAGAUACCCAGCUGGGUUCUGGAGGUUCUACUCCUUUACUCAAGUCAGGAGGGUUAAUUAUUGAGCCGUGACUCUUGAUAGAUACCCAGCUGGGUUCUGCUCCAUUACUCAAGUCAGGAGGGUUAAUUAUCGAGCCGUGACUCUUCAUAGAUACACAGCUGGGUUCUG